CCUUAUCACUUGUUCGUCGCAGU
rnacentral:miRNA from 10 species